GGUGGGGUGGCUGAGCGGUUGAAAGCGGCAGUCUUGAAAACUGUUGUGGGCAUUAGUCCACCCUGGGUUCGAAUCCCAGCCCCACCGCCA
rnacentral:tRNA from 1 species